rnacentral:lncRNA from 1 species
GGAGUUUGCCGGCGCGCACGUCCUCAGCAUGGUGCGCGCCCACUAUCCCCUGGUCGACUUGAGCAGGCUGGAGAAGGGGUACCCAAAGGAGGUCGGCCCACAGGAAGCGGACGAGCUUCGGGGUAGUCUGCUGGAUUUGUCGUCGACAGUGAUCGGCGACAUCAAUCUGUGCGGAACGGCCACUCCCCCAGACCAGCCGAGUUCAGAUAAGUCGGCCAGGGAGUUGUCGA